GACUAAACUGUUAAGUUGUAAAAAGAAGUAAAUAAAGAAAAACCGAAAAUUUCGGUUUUAUCCCACCGCCUCCCACGCACUCUCUGUUUCUUCGAGAAACAGAGAGGAGCGGUGGGGCAUGAGGAGUGAAGAAAAGAAGAAGAAGAGGGAAAAGAAGAGAGGAGAAAGAAGAGAGGAAGAAGAGGGAGAAGAGAAGAAGAAGAAGAAGAGGAGGUGGCUGCAGUGAGGGCUGCAGCGAGGAGCUGUGGGGCGUGGGGAGAAGAAGAGAGGAAGAAGAGGGAGAAGAGAAGAAGAAGAAGAAGAAGAAGAAGAAGAAGAGAGGAGGAUAGCUGCGGCAAGGCUGCAGCGAGGAGGUGUGUGGCUUUGGGUAGGAAAAGGGAAGAGGAGAAGAAGAGAAGGAGAAGAAGAGGGAAAAGAGAGGCAGCUGCAGCAGCCAGGGCUGCAGCACCUCUGUUUCCCGCAGGUGGAAACAGAGGAGAGGAUGUGUGGGGCGUUGAGGAUGAAAAGGGAAGAAGAAGAAGAAGAAGAAGAAGAAGAAGAAGAAGAUAGCUGCGGCAAGGCUGCAGCGAGGAGAUGUGUGGCCUUGGGGAGGAAAAGGGAAGAGGGGAAGAGGAGAAGAAGAAGAAGAGGAAGAGAAAGAGGUGUGAUACCUCUGUUUCCUAUAGAGGAAACAGAGGAGAGGGUGUGUGUGAUGCCGGGGAAGAAGGGGCUGCAGCUGCGGCGAUGGCAGCUGCAGCUGGAAGAGAAGAAGAAGAGGAAGAUGAGCAGGGGAGGAGGGAGAGAUUGCGGCCGUGGCUGCGGCCGCGACUGCAGCAGUUGCAGCGGGGAGAGAAGAAGAAGAAAGGAAGGAGAAGGAAGAGGAGAAAGGAAAGAAGUAGCUGCGGCUGCGGUUGUGGCAGCUGCAGCUAUGGCAGGGAAAGAGGAAGAGAAAAAGGAAAGGAAGAAGAAGAGAAAGGGAAGGAGAGGAAGAAGAGAGGAAGAGGAGAAGGGGCUGCGGCUGCGGCGAUGGCAGCUGCAGCUGUGGCUGGGAAAACAGAGAAGGAAAGGAAGAAGAAGAGAAAGGGAAGGAGAGGAAGAAGAGAGGAAGAGGAGAAGGGGUGGCAGCUGCGGCAGUGGCAGCUGCAGUUGGAAGAGAAGUAGGAGAGGAAAUAGAGUAGCAGAGGAAGAAGAGGCUGCGGUUGUGGUGGCUGCGGCCAUGGCUGCGACUGCGACUGCGGCAGUUGCAGCUGGGAAAGAAAGGAAAGGAAAGGGGGGAAAAAGGGGCUGCGGACGGGAUUGCAGCCGCAGCGGCAGCGACUGCGUAUGCAGCAGUUAAGUCUGCGAGAGAAGGGAGGAAGGAAGGUAGUGCGGUGGAAGGGGCUGCGAUUGUAGCAGCGGCAACGGCGGCGGCUGUGGCAGCUGCGUUUGGGAAAGAAAAAGAAGGAAUGAGAGUAAGAGAGAGCAGGUGACUGUGCCUCGAUGUUCGACACGUGGUGUAGUUGCGAAGAAAGGAAGAAAACGGGAGCACAAAACGAAACAGAGAGAGGACACGGAGGAAAAGUAGAAGGAUUUGGGCUGGCACCUUCUUUGGAUCUUCGGAUCGAAAUCUUUGAAAGGUCAGCUUGUCACUCUUCGAGAUGUUUGAUUUGGGCUGAGGCAGUGGAUAGCUAUUCAGAAUAAUGGGCAAGUCUGGUUGGUUAUUACGAUAUUGUUGUAUAAGUAUGUCUUGUAUAUAAUGAAAUGUUGUCGAUGAACCGAAAUAGAUAUACUGUGUCCAAGUGUUAGGAGAUCUCUCUUAUUUGGAAUUUCAGAAUGUUAAGUCUAAUUUAUGGUGAUAUGAACUUGUGGUGAAUAGUUGGAGUUCUGAUUGUAUAAUUUAUUUAGCUUGUGGAUUUAUAAAUGUUGUUCAUGUUUGUCAA